UCUCAUCCACUCUAUUGCAUUGCUUCUUGGUCUUGGUCUCUUCCAAUAGAGUUGAAGAGACCAAGACCAAGAAGCAAUGCAAUGGAGUUGAAGAGAC
rnacentral:pre_miRNA from 1 species